AGCAGUCGCCACGGUAAUACGUAGGUGGCAAGCGUUGUCCGGAAUUAUUGGGCGUAAAGGGCUCGCAGGCGGUUUCUUAAGUCUGAUGUGAAAGCCCCCGGCUCAACCGGGGAGGGUCAUUGGAAACUGGGAAACUUGAGUGCAGAAGAGGAGAGUGGAAUUCCACGUGUAGCGGUGAAAUGCGUAGAGAUGUGGAGGAACACCAGUGACGAAGGCGACUCUCUGGUCUGUAACUGACGCUGAGGAGCGAAAGCGUGGGGAGCGAACAGGAUUAGAUACCCCCGUAGUCCCUGUCUCUUAUAC
rnacentral:rRNA from 1 species